GACGGAGGAGGCAAGCGUUAUCCGGAAGUAUUGGGCGGAAAGCGUCCGCAGGUGGCGAUUCAAGUCUGCUGUCAAAGGUCGGGGCUUAACCCCGGGAAGGCAGUGGAAACUGAAUAGCUAGAGUGCGGUAGGGGCAGAGGGAAUUCCCGGUGUAGCGGUGAAAUGCGUAGAGAUCGGGAAGAACACCAGUGGCGAAAGCGCUCUGCUGGGCCUGCACUGACACUGCGGGACGAAAGCUAGGGGCGCGAAAGGG
rnacentral:rRNA from 1 species